rnacentral:lncRNA from 1 species
AGAGUCCUGUUUCAAGCAGUUUUAUCUGCUAACUGCACGGGGCAAUGAGCUGAAGGGGGAAAAUCGCAGCUGAGCAGGUGUCAGACUCCUCGUAGCACAGGGAGGCAAGGAGGCAGGCACUGAGGAUGGCAGAUCACGGCUCAGUAUCGAGGGUUCCACACUACCUUGUGUUGCCCAGCAUUGCACUGCCAGCAUGAAUGCAGAAAAACAUCCCUUUAAAAGAAAUCGUGUUGAGAUCACCUUGUAAUCAGCGCCACCGCUGCAGCCAGAGCACUAGGAGA